AAAACCACUACACCUUGCCUCUUGAAGAUAACCCUGGGUGUAGGUGUGUUGCCGGGUGGCCGUACCAGUGUUGAGGGUGUAGGUGUGUAGCCGGGUGGCCGUACCUGUGUUGAGGGUGUAGGUGUGUAGCCGGGUGGCCGUACCUGUGUUGAGGGUGUAGGUGUGUAGCCGGGUGGCCGUAUCUGUGUUGAGGGUGUAGAUGAGUAGCCGGGUGGCCGUACCU